rnacentral:misc_RNA from 1 species
GAUGAAGAACGUAGCGAAAUGCGAUAAGUAGUGUGAAUUGCAGAAUUCAGUGAAUCAUCGAAUCUUUGAACGCACAUUGCGCCCCUUGGUAUUCCAUGGGGCAUGCCUGUUCGAGCGUCAUUUGUACCUUCAAGCUCUGCUUGGUGUUGGGUGUUUGUCUCGCCUCUGAGCGUAGACUCGCCUCAAAACAAUUGGCAGCCGGCGUAUUGAUUUCGGAGCGCAGUACAUCUCGCGCUUUGCACUCAUAACGACGACGUCCAAAAGUACAUUUUUACACUCUUGACCUCGGAUCAGGUAGGGAUACCCGCUGAACUUAAGCAUAUCAAUAAGCGGAGGA